GCCGUGGUGGCGGAAUGGUAUACGCGUUGGUCUCAAAAACCAAUGGGAUUUUUUCCCGUGUGGGUUCGACUCCCACCCACGGCACCA
rnacentral:tRNA from 1 species